rnacentral:pre_miRNA from 1 species
GCUAGUAAGAGGAAGAAAGAGAAGGCGUAAAAGAAGUGUGAAUGUGAACAUAGAGGAAACCCUAACUUUAUUGGUUCUUUACCUCUUUUCUUGAGGUGGAAAUUCAGUUUGGCAUUUCCUGAUGCCUCUCAUUCCAAUUUUUUGGCACUCCUUCCUUUUCCUUUUUGUG